rnacentral:tRNA from 1 species
CCAAAUAGAGUUUGUUGAAUAUCUUUUUGUUAAUAAGAAGGAAUGAUUUUGGU